rnacentral:rRNA from 1 species
UACGUAGGGUGCGAGCGUUAAUCGGAAUUACUGGGCGUAAAGCGUGCGCAGGCGGUUUUGUAAGCCAGAUGUGAAAUCCCCGGGCUCAACCUGGGAAUGGCAUUUGGGACUGCAAGGCUGGAGUGUGGCAGAGGAGACUGGAAUUCCUGGUGUAGCAGUGAAAUGCGUAGAUAUCAGGAGGAAUACCGAUGGCGAAGGCAGGUCUCUGGGCUAUAACUGACGCUCAUGCACGAAAGCGUGGGGAGCAAACAGG